GGCGUGCUUAACACAUGCAAGUCGAACGGUGAUCUUGGGAGCUUGCUCCUGGGUGAUCAGUGGCGAACGGGUGAGUAACACGUGAGUAACCUGCCCCAGACUCUGGGAUAACUCCGGGAAACCGGAGCUAAUACCGGAUAUGACCCUUGGACGCAUGUCGCUUGGGUGGAAAGUUUUUCGGUUUGGGAUGGGCUCGCGGCCUAUCAGCUUGUUGGUGAGGUAGUGGCUCACCAAGGCGACGACGGGUAGCCGGCCUGAGAGGGCGACCGGCCACACUGGGACUGAGACACGGCCCAGACUCCUACGGGAGGCAGCAGUGGGGAAUAUUGCACAAUGGGCGCAAGCCUGAUGCAGCGACGCCGCGUGAGGGAUGACGGCCUUCGGGUUGUAAACCUCUUUCAGCAGGGAAGAAGCGAAAGUGACGGUACCUGCAGAAGAAGCACCGGCUAACUACGUGCCAGCAGCCGCGGUAAUACGUAGGGUGCGAGCGUUGUCCGGAAUUAUUGGGCGUAAAGAGCUUGUAGGCGGUUUGUCGCGUCUGCUGUGAAAAUCCGGGGCUCAACCCCGGACUUGCAGUGGGUACGGGCAGACUAGAGUGUGGUAGGGGAGACUGGAAUUCCUGGUGUAGCGGUGGAAUGCGCAGAUAUCAGGAGGAACACCGAUGGCGAAGGCAGGUCUCUGGGCCACUACUGACGCUGAGAAGCGAAAGCAUGGGGAGCGAACAGGAUUAGAUACCCUGGUAGUUCAUGCCGUAAACGUUGGGCGCUAGGUGUGGGGCUCAUUCCACGAGUUCCGUGCCGCAGCUAACGCAUUAAGCGCCCCGCCUGGGGAGUACGGCCGCAAGGCUAAAACUCAAAUGAAUUGACGG
rnacentral:rRNA from 1 species